rnacentral:rRNA from 1 species
UACAGAGGGUGCGAGCGUUAAUCGGAGUUACUGGGCGUAAAGGGUGCGUAGGCGGGACUGUGUGAGAGAUGUGAAAGCCCCGGGCUUAACCUGGGAAGAGCAUCUUUAACUGCAGACCUAGAGUCCAUCAGAGGGUGGCGGAAUUUCCGGUGUAGCGGUGAAAUGCGUAGAGAUCGGAAGGAACGCCGGUGGCGAAGGUGGCCACCUGGGAUGAGACUGACGCUGAGGCACGAAAGCGUGGGGAGCGAACAGG